AGCAGGCCAUCAAGGUAGAGCCAUCCAGUUGAAACGGACGGUCAACAGACCAUCAAGGAGGAGAAGUGGCAAUCCGGUGUGGGAAGUAGAGAUAAACAGUAGGGAUCGAUCAAGAGGGGGGCCAAUGGACUUCAUGGUGCUUUAUCCAGUGUUGAGUUGAGGCAUGAGAACUUCCAUAUCAGUCACGGAAAUGAAAACGGACCUCAAAAAUUACAGGUGUCAGCAGGCCAUCAAGGUAGAGCCAUCCAGUUGAAACGGACGGUCAACAGACCAUCAAGGAGGAGAAGUGGCAAUCCGGUGUGGGAAGUAGAGAUAAACAGUAGGGAUCGAUCAAGAGGGGGGCCAAUGAGCUUCAUG
rnacentral:lncRNA from 1 species